rnacentral:rRNA from 1 species
UAAAGCUUCUCUCAGUUCGGAUUGCAGGCUGCAACUCGCCUGCAUGAAGCCGGAAUCGCUAGUAAUCGCGGAUCAGCACGCCGCGGUGAAUACGUUCCCGGGCCUUGUACACACCGCCCGUCACACCACGAGAGUUUGUAACACCCGAAGUCGGUGAGGUAACCUUUUUGGAGCCAGCCGCCUAAGGUGGGAUAGAUGAUUGGGGUGAAGUCGUAACAAGGUAGCCGUAUCGGAAGGUGCGGCUGGAUCACCUCCUUUCUAAGGAA